AUUGAACGCUGGCGGCAGGCCUAACACAUGCAAGUCGAGCGGAUGAAGAGAGCUUGCUCUCUGAUUUAGCGGCGGACGGGUGAGUAAUGCCUAGGAAUCUGCCUGGUAGUGGGGGAUAACGUUCCGAAAGGAACGCUAAUACCGCAUACGUCCUACGGGGGAAAGCAGGGGACCUUCGGGCCUUGCGCUAUCAGAUGAGCCUAGGUCGGAUUAGCUAGUUGGUGAGGUAAUGGCUCACCAAGGCUACGAUCCGUAACUGGUCUGAGAGGAUGAUCAGUCACACUGGAACGGAGACACGGUCCAGACUCCUACGGGAGGCAGCAGUGGGGAAUAUUGGACAAUGGGCGAAAGCCUGAUCCAGCCAUGCCGCGUGUGUGAAGAAGGUCUUCGGAUUGUAAAGCACUUUAAGUUGGGAGGAAGGGCAGUAAGUUAAUACCUUGCUGUUUUGACGUUACCGACAGAAUAAGCACCGGCUAACUCUGUGCCAGCCGCCGCCGUAAAAC
rnacentral:rRNA from 1 species